rnacentral:rRNA from 1 species
UGAAGAUACGUAGGGCGCACGGUGGAUGCCUUGGCAUAGGAAGGCUUCGAAGGACGCGGCAAGCUGCGAUAAUCUGCGGUGAGGAGCAAACAUCCCUCGACCCGCAGGUCUCCGAACGGGGCAACCCGCCAGAGCGGAGCUCUGGCACCUCCCGCCGAACGCAUAGGCGGGAAGGGGCGAACCGGGGGAACUGAAACAUCUAAGUACCCCGAGGAAAGGAAAUCAACCGAGAUCGCGCGAGUAGCGGCGAGCGAAAGCGCGUUUAGCCUAAACCCAUGCAUGCGCACAGCCUGCAGGCGUUGCUGCAUGGGGGUCGUGGGAGCGCGCAUCCGGUCCCUGCAGGGGCCGGCGCCGGUUACAAAGGGACUGGGAAGCGGAACGGCAUGGAAAGGCCGGCCGGAGCGGGCGAGAGCCCCGUACGCGGACCCCAGUCCCCCGGCGGACGCGCAUCCCGAGUACAGCCGGGCACGUGAAACCCGGUUGGAAGCAGGGGGGACCGCCCUCCAAGGCUGAAUACUCUCCUAUGACCGAUAGAGGACCAGUACCGUGAGGGAAAGGUGAAAAGCACCCCGAGAGGGGAGUGACACAGUACCUGAAACCGUGCGCCCGCAAGCAGUCGGAGCAGAGGAUUCCUCUGUGACGGCGUGCCUUUUGUAGAAUGAGCCAGCGAGUUACGGUGCGCUGCGAGGUUAAGCUUCGAAGCGAGCCGCAGUGAAAGCGAGCCUUUAAGAUGGCGGUGAGUAGCGCGCCGUAGACGCGAAGCCGGGUGAGCUAUCCAUGGGCAGGGUGAAGCGGGGGUAAGACCCCGUGGAGGCCCGAACCCACUUCGGUUGAAAACGGAGGGGACGACCCGUGGAUAGGGGUGAAAGGCCAAUCAAACCCGGAGAUAUCUCGUUCUCCCCGAAAUAGCUUUAGGGCUAGCCGCGGCCGUACGAUGCCGGAGGUAGAGCACUGGACUUCCGAGGGGGCCUCACCGCCUGCCGAGGAAAACCAAACUCCGAAUGCCGGCAUCCCAUUGGCCGCGAGUCAGAGCAUGUGGGCUAAGCUGUGUGCUCGAGAGGGAAACAGCCCAGACCGCCCGCUAAGGCCCCCAAGUCCGUGCCGAGUGGCAAAGGAUGUGCGUUUGCCUAGACAACCAGGAUGUUGGCUUAGAAGCAGCCAUGCAUUUAAAGAGUGCGUAACAGCUCACUGGUCGAGUGGACAUGCGCCGACAAUUCACGGGGCUAAGCACGGCGCCGAAGCGGCGGACGGAUCGAGAGAUCCUGUGGUAGGGGAGCUUUCCCGGAGGGGCGAAGCGCGAGGGGCGACCCCGCGUGGACAUCCGGGAAGUGAGAAUGCUGGCAUGAGUAACGAGAGAGGGGCGGGAAACCCCUCCGCCGUAAGCCUAAGGGUUCCUGGGCAACGCUAAUCGCCCCAGGGUCAGUCGGGAGCUAAGCCGAGGCGGACACGCGUAGGCGAUGCACAACAGGCGGACAUUCCUGUACCGCCGCGGGCCGUCACCACCGACGGGGUGACGGGGAAGGGUAGCCGGGCGGGGUUCUGGACGUCCCCGUGAAAGCGCGUAGGGCGGUCGGCAUGGAAACCAGCCGACCGAUGAGCCCGAGACGCGAGACGAAGGAUCUGAUCCGAAGCCGGCGAGCCCAUGCCCCCUGGAAAAACCUCUAGGGAGGCCCGCGGCGCCCGUACCAAAACCGACACAGGUAGGCGGGUAGAGCAUACCGAGGCGAUCGGGAGAACCAUGGUUAAGGAACUCGGCAUACCGACCCCGUAACUUCGGGAGAAGGGGUGCCCGCCCAGGUGAGGGAGCUAGCCCCCGGAGCCCGGGCGGGCCGCAGCGAAACGGCCCAAGCGACUGUUUAGCAAAAACACAGGACUCUGCAAAGCCGCAAGGCGACGUCUAGGGUCUGACGCCUGCCCGGUGCCGGAAGGUUACGCGGAAGCGUUAGCGAAAGCGAGGCGCCGAAGCCAAGCCCCGGUAAACGGCGGCCGUAACUAUAACGGUCCUAAGGUAGCGAAAUUCCUUGUCGGGUAAGUUCCGACCUGCACGAAUGGCGUAACGACUUGGGCGCUGUCUCAACCAUGGACCCGGUGAAAUUGCAUUGUUCGUGAAGAUGCGAACUUCCCGCGGAAGGACGGAAAGACCCCGUGAACCUUUACUACAGCUUGGCAUUGAUCGUUGGCUCGGUGCGUAGAGGAUAGGUGGGAGGCUAUGAACCCCGGGCGCCAGCCCGGGCGGAGCCGCCCUUGGAAUACCACCCUCACCGUUCCGGCGAUCUAACGCGCGGCCGCGAUCCGGCGCGCGGACCGUGCCAGGCGGGUAGUUUGACUGGGGCGGUCGCCUCCCAAAGAGUAACGGAGGCGUGCGCAAGGUCCGCUCAGGACGGUCGGCAACCGUCCGCAGAGCACAAGAGUACAAGCGGGCUUGACUGCGAGGCCGACGAGCCGAGCAGGUGGGAAACCAGGUUCUAGUGAUCCGGCGGCCCGACGUGGAACGGCCGUCGCUCAACGGAUAAAAGGUACUCCGGGGAUAACAGGCUGAUCUUGCCCAAGAGUCCACAUCGACGGCAAGGUUUGGCACCUCGAUGUCGGCUCAUCGCAUCCUGGGGCUGAAGUCGGUCCCAAGGGUAUGGCUGUUCGCCAUUCAAAGCGGUACGCGAGCUGGGUUCAGAACGUCGUGAGACAGUUCGGUCCCUAUCCUCCGCGGGCGCAAGAGAACUGAGGAGAUCUGCCCCUAGUACGAGAGGACCGGGGUGGACGGACCUCUGGUGCAGCGGUUGUCGGCCAACGGCACUGCCGCGUAGCUACGUCCGGAACGGAUAAGCGCUGAAGGCAUCUAAGCGCGAAGCCGUCUCCAAGAUGAGUUCUCUUUCCGGUAAUCCCCCUCGUAGCCACCGAGCUUGAUCGGCCGCAGCUGCAAGCGCCGCGAGGCGCUCAGGCGAGCGGUACUAAUCGGUCGAGCUCUUCAUCUC